UGGGGAAUAUUGCACAAUGGGGGAAACCCUGAUGCAGCGACGCCGCGUGAGCGAUGAAGGCUUUCGAGUCGUAAAGCUCUGUCCUAUGGGAAGCUAAUGACGGUACCAUAGAAGAAAGCCCCGGCUAAUUACGUGCCAGCAGCCGCGGUAAUACGUAAGGGGCGAGCGUUGUCCGGAAUUAUUGGGCGUAAAGAGUGCGUAGGCGGCAAAUUAAGUCAGAUGUGAAAACUAAGGGCUCAACCCAUAGAUGGCAUCUGAAACUGAUAUGCUUGUGUCAAGGAGAGGAAAGUGGACUUCCUAGUGUAGCGGUGGAAUGCGUAGGUAUUAGGAGAAAUACCGGUGGCGAAGGCGACUUUGUGGACUUGAACUGACGCUGAGGCACGAAAGCGUGAGGAGCAAACAGG
rnacentral:rRNA from 1 species